rnacentral:rRNA from 1 species
UACGUAGGGGGCGAGCGUUGUCCGGAGUUACUGGGCGUAAAGGGCAUGCAGGCGGUCGUACGCGUUUUGUGUGACAGCGGGUGGCUUAACUACCCGAGUAUGCGAAAGACGGUAUGACUUGAGGGCUCGAGAGGGACACGGAAUUCCGGGUGGAGUGGUGAAAUGCGUAGAGAUCCGGAGGAACACCGAAGGCGAAGGCAGUGUCCUGGCGAGUGACUGACGCUGAGGUGCGAAAGCUAGGGGAGCGAACGGG